UUUUUUAAAAUUUGAUUGUACCUAUAGUCCUGUUCAAUUGUUUAGACCCUAAGUCUUUUGCAAAUGUUUAAACGUUUAAAUCCUAUUCAGUACUUGUUUUCUUUACAUACGCGUGAAAACAACCCCAAAUUCCGACAUAUUUCAUAUACAGUUCAUCAUCUAAAAUGCACGAAGUUGACUUAUUUCCAUUUUACAAAAAUCUCUGUAUGUUUUGAAUGCAGGUUCUUUUUCCUAUAACUAAGGCUAUAGUGUAUUUCAAACUAAUGUUCUUUUCCACCUUCCUAUGGGAAUAUAUUGUAGUAUGACCUAUAUUUAAGAAACAAUUUCGAAACAUAAGUCAAUAAACAAUCCAGGCGCGGAUUCAGGCGGGGAGUCCAGAUGACACAUCCCCCUCUAUUUUUGUCAAACAGAAUACCCAAAAAACUUAUCCAAUCCACCUUUUCAAAAGCAACAACGGGUUUUGGGUCCCCGCUUUUAAAAACACUUCUGGAUCCGCGCCUGCUAUUUCAUUAAUGUAAUAUACUGAUACAAAAAUAAAUACGUUUGUGUGGGGAUAAAACACUAUAAAGUAACUACAAGAUAGCUUGAUACAUUAUGACUGUCAGGUUGUAUGUCCAUGAAUAAUAUAUAAUAUUUAUUAUUUACUAAUGCACGUGGGUUUGGGGUGAGGUCUUAAUCUCGUGAUGUUCAUUGUGACAUAUUGCAUACACACGUGGCCAGAAUAUUUAUUACAUGUUUAAUGGUGUCAGAGAAGUUUGUAGGUGUGACAGAGUUCAAACCAAGUGACAGUUCUUUCCUUACCGUGGCCGGUUUUGGGUUAUAGAAGACACACUGUAGAUAAACCAUUUGAUUUUGAUGGUCAUCUUACAUGAUACAAGGAAUAACUGAGACCAUUUCAGACGUUAUGUACAUGUUUGCAUAUUAAUUAGUUAUCGGGCAUAUUAAUGAGAUUUGGAUCAGUGUUUUACUUAUUAAAGGUACCCUACUAAUGUCACAAAGGCCUUCACGCGCUAUGACUGUCUCUGUCGUGCGAUAUAAGUGGUCACACAUUCGUGAAAUUUUCACCUGCUUUACUUCGAACGCGUAUACUUUCAUUGGCGAUUGGAUAGGCAAGCAAUAGAAAAUCGCACUAAGGGCUAUCGAAAAUAUACUCACGAAAUACAAGGUUUAGUUCAGUGCACGCUCAGUGUAUUUGUGAAACAACAUGCGCGAUCAUUAUCGUGUAGGAUAGCUUCGCUGAACGAAUGUGUAUCCAGAUCCCCAAUUUUACUUUGGAAAUAACUCGUCUUAUGCAAGAGUCAGACUACCAGCUAUCACGACGGGGUUGGCCAAUUCACCGAUCUCUCGACUUUUACGACUGUCCAGUUGCUAGUCUGAGUGUUUACUCCUACGAUCGAUUAGUUGUUAAUCUGAGCGCACCCGUCGUAAGUUGGAACUUGGCCAACUUCGCCGUGACAGUUGGUAGCAUUACUUAUAGCUCUGUUUCUACAACGUACAACGAAUUAAUUGUACCAUAUUUAUACAGAAACAUCAAAAUAGUUUAAAUAUGCAUUUGUAUAAACUGAAAUCAGUUUAUUUCUGUCAUCUUUUAAUGUUAAUGGCCUCUCGUGUGUUGAUUUGUCUGUCAUAUUUACUUGUAAAUUGGUUUAUUACUAUAACAUAUUUUUUCAAUGUUAAUAAAACGGCAUUAAGAAACAGUUAUUUAAUGUUUUUCUUAAACAUUUGUAGUGAGUCAAAUAUAAUUUUAAAAUUUGUUCUUGGUGUUUUUCGUUUUAGUUAAUAAUAACAAGCAGGACUUUUUCUUAAUUAAUAAUUAAAAAGAAGGUAUUGUCCUCAUGAACUUUAUUAUUAUCAUCACAGUCAUCUUCUAUUUAUUUUACAGCAUGCGUACAAAUAAAUGAGAAACUAGCAAGAGAGCAUACGUGUACUAUAAAUAUAUAUUUCAAGUAUCCUUUACGUUUGAAAAACGUAAAACAGUGCUAUUCUAGGAUGUAUCAAUUCCACUAAGUGUAAAAUAAGGGAACAUAACCAGGACAAUAGUAACAUGGUUUAUUUCAAAUUUUCGUGCUUAUAUCCAAUUAAGAUGUCCUGGCACACAUCUCAGCUAUCUGGGUUGUCUGUCAGCCCUCAAGAACUCGCUCUGGGAUGGAGCUGGUACUGGGCUACGAACCCUGUACGUACCAGCCUAUAGUCCGAUGGCUUGACCACUACGCAACCGAGGCUGUUGAUAGUAAUAUGAACAAUACUUUUGAUGUUAAGAAGCAUACUAUUGGUAGUGAUCAUACACUUCAUCACGCUAUGCUGUUUCUCAAUGUGUACGGAUCUAUCGAUCCUUUUGUGUUGUCAAUGGAUCCGUACGCGUAUUUAAAACAAAAAUUCUUGAUAGUGGUAACAGGAUGGAAACAUAUUACAAUUAUUCUCCAACUUUAAAUUUUCAUAGCCUAAUUGUUCAAGAUUAAGCUUGCAUUUUGCCAUUCUUAGUUACCUAAGUAAAUAAUUUCUGCAUAUCAACAAUAAAUUUAAGAUGUCUAGAUAGUUGAUUUGUAUGUUUUUGAUGUGUUGAAAUGUUAAUAUUAAAAAUUAUGCCGAGAUACGUCUUCAGACGACUCGUGUUAUGAGAUAAAUAUUACCUAACGGUCAGCCACGUAGUAUUCUCUAUUCCCCAAUAGUAACGGGCAUAAUUUAUUGUAAUACGUGUUUACAACUAUACAUUGCAUUAAUUUGAAUGAGCCCCAUUUUCAUGCACAAAUGUGUCAUUAUUAUGCUGAGGGACCGUUCAUGUCUUCCAUUAGUGAUACUAGAGACGGUGUCGAGAUUUCAUCAAUAUUCCAGUGCUAUUGUGGCGGCUAUCAUCCCCCUAUUGUUUGUGAUUUGUCGGUAGAUACCUAAAGCAACGGUCUCCUGUAGGUUUGUAUUGUAUGUCUUUAAACGUGCGUGUCUUAUUAUUAAUGGUGCUGUAGUGUUUAAUCUGGCUCAGGAUAAAGUGCUUAAAUGUGUCGAUUAAUAGCAUCUAGUAAUUGUGCCAACAGUCUUGAAAUACCUGUAAGAAACAACACUUAGAUUAUAUUAAUUGUUGAUGAACUACGGGUGUUUUUGUUUUUUGGACAAGCAUUAAAACAUGGUUAGAAAUAAAAAAAAGACUUGUGCAAAAUC